rnacentral:ncRNA from 1 species
CUCUUAUCCAGAGACGGCGGAGGGACAGGCCCGAAGAAACCCGGCAACCAUCAUGUAGAUGAAAAGGUGCCAACCUGAUGCAAGGUUUUACCUUGGACGAUAAGAU